CUUUGUUUAUGAACCCUAGUCACACCUCCCUGCGUGUGACUUGCACAGCCUUCCAUAAACACUUCCUGUAAAGAGAGCCCUAUUUAGGCUUUCUUUAUUGCAAGUUCUGUUUAAUUAAGAUUUUCUUAUCCCCUGCUAUGUUAAUAGCUUGCUAGACCCUGCAAAAGCCUCCUGUAUGUGAUUAAAGUUCAAUUUAGAGAUUGAGAUACAAU